GUGCUCGCCUCGGCAGCACAUAUAUUAAAAUUGGAACAAUACAGAGAAGAUUACCAGGGUCUCUGUGCAAGGAUGACAUGCAAAUUCAUGAAGCGUUCCAUAUUUUU
ensembl:snRNA U6 U6 spliceosomal RNA